GUGCAUGUCAUCCAAGAGCCGCAGCUUCACAGUUGGUAGCUGUGGACUCUCCAACUGCAUGCUAUAGAAUUGGAGAGACUUUGACAACUUUGGAUCUUGUUUAUCCUCUGUUGCCACUCGACUCUCCUACAUUC